CCCAAUUCACUCUCUCUCUCUCACUCACUUCUCUUCUUCCUCAAGACCCCUGACUACUCCCUCUUUCUCUCUCACUUUAUUUCUCAUUUCUUCUCUCUACUUCUACACCUCCGGCAUAGACCCAGUCUCGAGACCCCAGACUGCAUCUCUACCCCUCCCUUACUCUCACUUUCUUUCUCCAUUCUCUCAGCCCCGCUAUCUCUCUUCUCUCUCAGCCUCAACCUCUCACCGUCUUUCCCUCGUGCAGGUUGACGACUAAGGAUGGCGCGCGAAUAAUGGUGAGUUUCGACGACAAAAGAUUUGAAUGAUACUCGACCAGCGUCGAUGGGGGCUCUAAUUUUCAAUGGGGUCGGCGAAGCUGGGUUCGUGCAACGAAAUGAUGGGUGUCCUGCUUGCAAAAAUUAUAAGCCCCAUUAUGAAAAAGUAGCAAAGCUUUUUAAUGGGCCAGAUACAGUUCAUCCAGGGAUGGUAUUGAUGACUGGGGUAGACUGUGCAUCUAAGAUAAAUACUAAACUCUGUGAUAGAAUCUCUG